GACGAACGCUGGCGGCGUGCCUAAUACAUGCAAGUCGAACGCAGUGGGGACGGGUGAGUAACACGUGGGUAACCUCCCAUCAGAGGGGAUAACACUUGGAAACAGGUGCUAAACCGAUACUGAUGGAUGGACCCGCGGUGCAUUAGCUAGUUGGUGAGGUAACGGCUCACCAAGGCCACGAUGCAUAGCCGCCCGUAGAGGGUUAUCAGCCUCAGUGGGACUGAGACACGGCCCAGACUCCUACGGGAGUCAGCCGUAGGGAAUCUUCGGCAAUUGACGAAAGUCUGACCGAGCAACGCCGCGUGAGUGAAGAAGGUUUUCGGAUCGUAAAACUCUGUUGUUAGAGAAGCGGUAUCUAACCAGAAAGCCACGGCUAACUACGUGCCAGCAGCCGCGGUAAUUC
rnacentral:rRNA from 1 species